UACAGAGGGUGCAAGCGUUAAUCGGAAUUACUGGGCGUAAAGCGAGCGUAGUCGGUUAUUUAAGUCGGAUGUGAAAUCCCCGGGCUCAACCUGGGAAUUGCAUUCGAUACCGGAUAGCUAGAGUUCGGCAGAGGGAAGCGGAAUUUCGGGUGUAGCGGUGAAAUGCGCAGAUAUCAGGAGGAACACCGGUGGCGAAGGCGGGUCUCUGGGCCGACACUGACGCUGAGGAGCGAAAGCGUGGGGAGCGAACAGG
rnacentral:rRNA from 1 species